GAUGAAGAACGCAGCGAAAUGCGAUAAGUAAUGUGAAUUGCAGAGUUUUGUGAAUCAUCGAAUCUUUGAACGCACAUUGCGCCCCUCGGUAUUCCGACGGGCAUGCCUGUCCGAGCGUCGUUUGCAACCCAUCGAGUAACACUUCUCGGUCUUGGGCGCCGUCCGCCCCCUCGGGGGAUCGGACGGGCCCCAAAGCCCUCGGCGGCCCCGCGUGCCCCGCCGGAGCGUCUUCGAAAGCAAUCGCUCCGGCGCGUCGCGCCCCGGGACCAAGCCGGCACCGCGGCCCCCCCAAAGGGGUCGCACCCCCAACACCAAACGUCUGACCUCGGAUCAGGUAGGGCUACCCGCUGAACUUAAGCAUAUCAAUAAGCGGAGGA
rnacentral:misc_RNA from 1 species